UGGGGAAUUUUGGACAAUGGGCGAAAGCCUGAUCCAGCAAUGCCGCGUGUGUGAAGAAGGCCUUCGGGUUGUAAAGCACUUUUGUCCGGAAAGAAAUCCUCUGGGUUAAUACCUCGGGGGGAUGACGGUACCGGAAGAAUAAGCACCGGCUAACUACGUGCCAGCAGCCGCGGUAAUACGUAGGGUGCAAGCGUUAAUCGGAAUUACUGGGCGUAAAGCGUGCGCAGGCGGUUUUGUAAGACGGAUGUGAAAUCCCCGGGCUAACCUGGGGACUGCAUUCGUGACUGCAAGGCUAGAGUAUGGCAGAGGGGGGUAGAAUUCCACGUGUAGCAGUGAAAUGCGUAGAGAUGUGGAGGAAUACCGAUGGCGAAGGCAGCCCCCUGGGCCAAUACUGACGCUCAUGCACGAAAGCGUGGGGGAGCAAA
rnacentral:rRNA from 1 species